rnacentral:rRNA from 1 species
GACGAACGCUGGCGGCGUGCUUAACACAUGCAAGUCGAACGGUAAGGCCCUUCGGGGUACACGAGUGGCGAACGGGUGAGUAACACGUGGGUGAUCUGCCCUGCACUUCGGGAUAAGCCUGGGAAACUGGGUCUAAUACCGGAUAGGACCACUGCCUGCAUGGGUGGUGGUGGAAAGCUUUUGCGGUGUGGGAUGGGCCCGCGGCCUAUCAGCUUGUUGGGGGGGUGAUGGCCUACCAAGGCGACGACGGGUAGCCGGCCUGAGAGGGUGACCGGCCACACUGGGACUGAGAGACGGCACAGACUCCUACGGGAGGCAGCAGUGGGGAAUAUUGCACAAUGGGCGCAAGCCUGAUGCAGCGACGCCGCGUGAGGGAUGACGGCCUUCGGGUUGUAAACCUCUUUCAGCACCGACGAAGCGCAAGUGACGGUAGGUGCAGAAGAAGGACCGGCCAACUACGUGCCAGCCGCCGCGGUAA